CCUACGGGAGGCAGCAGUGGGGAAUAUUGGACAAUGGGCGAAAGCCUGAUCCAGCAAUUCCGCGUGUGUGAAGAAGGCCUUCGGGUUGUAAAGCACUUUAGGUUGGGAAGAAAAAGCUCCGGUGAAUAUCCGGAGUGUUGACGGUACCAACAGAAUAAGCACCGGCUAACUCUGUGCCAGCAGCCGCGGUAAUACAGAGGGUGCAAGCGUUAAUCGGAUUUACUGGGCGUAAAGCGUGCGCAGGUGGUUUCGUAAGUCGGAUGUGAAAGCCCCGGGCUCAACCUGGGAACUGCGUUCGAUACUGCGAGACUAGAGUUUGGUAGAGGGUGGCGGAAUUCCCGGUGUAGCGGUGAAAUGCGUAGAUAUCGGGAGGAACAUCAAUGGCGAAGGCAGCCACCUGGGCCUGAACUGACACUGAGGCACGAAAGCGUGGGUAGCAAACAGGAUUAGAUACCCUGGUAGUCCACGCCGUAAACGAUGAGAACUUGACGUCGGCCCGUUUUACGAGUCGGUGUCGUAGCUAACGCGAUAAGUUCUCCGCCUGGGGNGACGCGCGAGUAGAACUAAUAGAGUAGAGCGUGAGAGUGCGACGACGACGACGAGGGAGAGG
rnacentral:rRNA from 1 species